CACAACAAAAUUGGUUGCUCUAUAUUGAUCCCCGUAAGCAUGAUGACCUAUGAUAAUGGGUUUUACCCAUCCACUCACAAGCCAGGGCAUAUUUUUCCAGAUAAUAGCUUCCCUGAAGACAGUGCCACCCAAGAUAAUUCAGAUGGUGCCAUUUGGAGAUUUCCACAUUUGUUUCAACUUGAACUUCUCCACUCUCUUCUCAUCGGGGGUGAUGGUGGCAUACUUGACACCAACGUUGUACUUCUUUAUAGCUUCUGCAGCGUCCUCGGUGACCUAGUCAUUGGUGGCAUCGUGAUUCUCUAUGCCUAAAUUGUAGCUGUGCUGAUCCAGUUCCACAUAGGGAAAAAUGAGUUUCUCUUUAAUCAACUCCCAAAUGAUUCAUGUCAUUUCAUCUCCUUGCAUCUCUACCACAGACCCGCCUUGGAUUUUUUGAGACAUUUUGACUUCAGUAGACCUCUUUACAAUUUCUAAUCACCCCAACCCCUCUCAAUCUUGCAGACUCAGCUUAUCUCCUGCGGGAAAGCUACAUUGACCAUGACCCGGGAGCACACAGUCCACUUUAGCAAUCCGGGCUGGACCCCAACUGUUCCGGAUUCUCACGGUGCCUCAGCAGAAACCCCCAGGUUUCAGAAAAAAUUCAAAAAGAAAUGAGGCAGCAGAAAGCAAGUAUGUGAAUCUUCUUUGUGCCAUUUCACAUACCUGGGGAUGGGAUACAGGAUACAUACCUGGGAGUGGAAUUGCUGGGUCACAUGCUAAUGAGACAGUUAACUUUUUGAGGAACGAUUAAGCUGCCUUUGUGGGUGUACCAUUUUACAUUAUUAUCAGCAAUGUAUGAGUGUUUUAAUUUCUUCACACCUCACUGAUGCUUGUUAUUUUCUGUUUUGUUUUGUUUUGGCUUGGCUUUGCUUGCAGCCAUCCCAGUGGGAGUAAAGUGGCAUCUCAUUGUGGUUUUCGUUUGUGUUUUCCUA
ensembl:lncRNA